rnacentral:rRNA from 1 species
GACGAACGCUGGCGGCGUGCUUAACACAUGCAAGUCGAACGGAAAGGCCCUGCUUUUGUGGGGUGCUCGAGUGGCGAACGGGUGAGUAACACGUGAGUAACCUGCCCUUGACUUUGGGAUAACUUCAGGAAACUGGGGCUCAUACCGGAUAGGAGCUCCUGCUGCAUGGUGGGGGUUGGAAAGUUUCGGCGGUUGGGGAUGGACUCGCGGCUUAUCAGCUUGUUGGUGGGGUAGUGGCUUACCAAGGCUUUGACGGGUAGCCGGCCUGAGAGGGUGACCGGCCACAUUGGGACUGAGAUACGGCCCAGACUCCUACGGGAGGCAGCAGUGGGGAAUAUUGCACAAUGGGCGGAAGCCUGAUGCAGCAACGCCGCGUGCGGGAUGACGGCCUUCGGGUUGUAAACCGCUUUCGCCUGUGACGAAGAGUGAGUGACGGUAAUGGGUAAAGAAGCACCGGCUAACUACGUG